GUGAGUGUUCGUUUUCAUAUCUACAUCAAUCUUCUCACAUAUGACUAGUAUAGGGUGUGUAGUUAGAAAAUCUGAGUGAAAAUUGAGUGCAUACUUUGUAAGGAAUUGAGUAAAUUCUCUAAGGCAUGUUACUACAUCAAAAACAUUGUUUUAAUCGAUUAAUUGUGAACAAGUAAAUGGUGACUAUGAUUAAGUAUGUACUUAAGUGUAAGAUGAUUCAAAUAUGUGGGGAUAAUGAUUGUUAACAUGUCAUGUGCAUUGGAAAUCCCUGAGGCAAAUGUUGGAAGGUUUAGAUUGUGUUUUAUUUAUUUAUUUUUAUUUCGUUUUAUUUCUUUGUUUUGCUCGAGGACUAGCAAAAGCUAAGUGUGGGGGAAUUUGAUAGGAGCAUAUUUAUGCGACUUAGUUAACAUGUUUUCUUGCAUUUACUUAGUUAGUUAUUGCUUAUAAGAGUGUUUUAAGCUAUUUUCGUGUGUUUGUAGGUCCUAAAUAACAAAGUUGGAAAGAAAGUGCAUUUUGGUGCAAUUUGGAGCAAUUUUGGGCCAAAAUGGAUUGCAUGCAUAUGGUGCAAGUGGGAUGGACGUUUUUGGUGUUAUAAAAAGGGUUUCAACACAUGCAAAAAUCUGAAUAAUGAAGUUGAAGUGUAGAAGUGUGCAGAUACAUACACUUAAGGAACAAUUUGAAAGGAAAAGAAGUUAAAGAUGCCAUUUGUUGGAUUGCUUUACAAGUUGUAUUCACAUUUUCAGCAACUACAAACAUAAUUGUAAGCUGAAAUGAUGCAUAGCAUGUGUGUAGAGGUGUAAAGUGGCCAAAAGUUGAUGUUUGCAAGAUGAAAUGAUGCAAAACAUGUGUGUGAAAGUUGUCUAACAGCUAGUACAUGUGGAAAAGGGAUGGAAUACAAGGCAAAUGCAUCAGAAAGUGAAGAAUGAAGGCACAUGGACAGCUACAAAAGAGUUGAAUUAGCAAGAGAGGAAUGAUUGCCUUUUGUUAAAGGCAAGACACAAUGAUAAAAUAGCAUGUAAACUAGCUGUUUUUGCAUCAUUUUGGUCUUUGUUUGUAUUGUUUAUUGAAGCCACUUGAGUGAUUCUUUGCUUUGGAGCUUCUAUAAAUAGGGAGUGAAGGGAAGAACAACAUACUACAUCAAAAAAUACCCCCUCUCAUCUCAGAAAUUUCGUCCAGCCACAUUCCACACCAUUCUACACUCCCAAAUCACCAUACAUCCAUAAGUCCUUACCUUUGCCGCACCCUUCACCUAUCCUAAACACUACCAUACCAUCUCACAUCCAUUCCUCCAUAAAAAUAUCACCCAAAACCUGUCCCCAAGUCUUGUGCUGCAGCAAAGAGGAAAGGAGGACAGUCCAUAGGCGUGCUUGUUGUUCAAAGUGGAUCGUUGGAGCGUCUAGGUGUUUUCUUUCUUUUGUUUUCAAUGUCUAAAUUUGUUUAUCUUUGCUUUGUGAGUAUGAGAAACUAAACCCACCUUGGCUAGGGGGGGAUUCAAAACCAUGUUUAUGCUUGCUAUAUGAUUUGAUUACUUCCAAUUGCGUUUCAUGAAUUGUGAAUUUAAUUUACUUAUCUCUAUGAAUUAAAACUAAUUUGUUUAUGUUGGUUGAGAGUGCAUGCUUAAUUUUCAUGCAUAAGUUUGAUGCUAGGAUAUAAGGGAGUUUCACCUAAUCGUUAUGAACUUAUAUUCAUAAGUAGUAAAGGUUGUUGAUCACA
rnacentral:lncRNA from 1 species